UAAGCAUGAAGCCCCCCUCAAGAUGAGAUUUCCCAUUCCGCAAGGAAGUAAGAUCCCUGAAAGAUGAUCAGGUUGAUAGGUCUGAGGUGGAAGCGUGGUGACACGUGGAGCUGACAGAUACUAAUAGAUCGAGGACUUAACCUAUAUU
rnacentral:rRNA from 1 species